UCACUCAUCUUGAGGGACUGAUGGAGAGUCAACCCCGACACACCAGAAAAUAAACCUCUUGCUUUUGAUUCUCAUUUGGGAGCAUCUAGAACCUUCAGAUGGUGCACACGCUGUUCCCACUGAAGCCUGAGGCCUCCCCCCUUAUCCAUCUGGCAAAUCCGUACUCCUGAGGCCCAGCAUCUUCCCUGGGUAAACAAAAGCCAGGACACAUUCAUCUUUGUUAUCCAGCAUGGAAAAUUUAAGUCCCAGGUAACUCAAGUAAAUACAGUGGAGCAUUCCAAACAGAAGCUGAGACCCUGUGGAUGAUAUUGCAGCAGAUGAAGAUGUAGCUCUCAGCACGUGCCUGCAUGCUGCC